rnacentral:rRNA from 1 species
AUUGAACGCUGGCGGCAUGCCUUACACAUGCAAGUCGAACGGUAACGGGCCUUCGGGUGCCGCCUUGUGGAGGACGGGCGGAUAAUACAGCAGAACGUGCCCAACCGUCUGGGGGAACGAGGCGAAAACUGUGCUAGUACCCCAAACCAUCAAAGCAUCAAAGCACGGAACAGGAAGGCCUUGGGGCGACGUGCCGUCCGAUGGCAGAUUAGGUAGUUGGUGGGAUAAAAGCUUACCAAGCCGACGAUCUGUAGCUGGUCUGAGAGGAUGGUCAGCCACACUGGGACUGAGACACGGCCCAGACUCCUACGGGAGGCAGCAGUGGGGAAUUUUGGACAAAGGGCGCAAGCCUGAUCCAGCCAUGCCGCGUGCAGGAUGAAGGCCUUCGGGUUGUAAACUGCUUUUGUCCGGAAGGAAAAGACUUAUUUUAAUACAGUAGCGUAAUGACGGUACCGGAAGAAUAAGCACCGGCUAACUCCGUG